UACAGAGGGGGCAAGCGUUGUUCGGAAUUACUGGGCGUAAAGGGCGCGUAGGCGGCCUUCUAAGUCAGACGUGAAAUCCCUCGGCUCAACCGGGGAACUGCGUCUGAGACUGGAAGGCUUGAAUCUGGCAGAGGGGGUAGAAGUUCCACGUGUAGCAGUGAAAUGCGUAGAGAUGUGGAGGAACACCGAUGGCGAAGGCGGGUCUCUGGCCGAUACUGACGCUGAGGAGCGAAAGCCAGGGAGCAAACGGG
rnacentral:rRNA from 1 species